GAACUUUCCGCUUAGUGGCAAACGGGCGAGUAACACGUGGGUUACCUACCUCCUUGAUGGGGAUACCAAUUGGAAACGAUUGUUAAUACCGAAUGUGCUCUACGGAGUAAAGUACCUUUCGGGGUACGCGAGGAGAUGGGCCUGCGGUGCAUUAGAUAGUUGGUGGGGUAAAGGCCUACCAAGUCGACGAAUGCAUAGCUGAACUGAGAGGUUGAUCGGCCACACUGGGACUGAGACACGGCCCACACUCCUACGGGAGACAGCAGUUAGGAAUAUUCGUCGAUGGGGGGAACCCUGAACGAGCAAUGCCGCGUGAGUGAAGACGGUCCUCUGGAUUGUAAAACUCUGUUGUUUGGGAAGAACGUUAUUAAUAGGAAAUGAUUAGUAAGUGACGGUACCAUUCAAGAAAGCCACGGCUAACUACGUGCCAGCAGCCGCGGUAAUACGUAGGUGGCGAGCGUUAUCCGGAUUUAUUGGGCGUAAAGCGUCCGCAGCCGGUUUAUUAAGUCCAAAAUUAAAGCCCGAGGCUUAACCUCGGUUCGUUUUGGAAACUGAUAAGCUAGAGUGUGGUGGAGGCAAGUGGAAUUUCUAGUGUAGCGGUAGAAUGCGUAGAUAUUAGAAGGAACACCAGUGGCGAAGGCGACUUGCUGGGCCAUAACUGACGGUCAGGGACGAAAGCGUGGGGAGCGAAUAGGAUUAGAUACCCUAGUAGUCCACGCUCUAAACGAUGAU
rnacentral:rRNA from 2 species